AAGUCGUAACAAGGUUUCCGUAGGUGAACCUGCGGAAGGAUCAUUAGCGAGGUUUUUUUCUCCAGCUCGCUGGAGACCCUCCACCCUUUGUGUAUUGACCUGUUGCUUCGGCGGGACGUCUGCUCUCGAGCGGCCGUCGGCUAACGCGGGCGUGAUCCCGCCGAAGGCUUUUUUGACUCUUGUCUUUCUUGUCGUCUGAAUUUUCAAAAACAAAAAAAAAUCAAAACUUUCAACAACGGAUCUCUUGGUUCUG
rnacentral:misc_RNA from 1 species